CCUGCGGAAGGAUCAUUACCGAGAGACGGGGUCUAACCGGCCCCAACUCUUCACCCGUGUCUACGUUACUUAUGUUGCUUUGGCGGGUCUUGGGGUUCCACUCAGAGAAGUAUAUUGCUUUUUAGUGCCCGCCAAAAGCCUUGUUCAAAUCCUGUUAUCAAUGUCGUCGGAGUAAUUUUAUAAUAACUAAAACUUUCAACAACGGAUCUCUUGGUUCUGGCAUCGAUGAAGAACGCAGCGAAAUGCGAUAAGUAAUGUGAAUUGCAGAAUUCCGUGAAUCAUCGAAUCUUUGAACGCACAUUGCGCCCUUUGGUAUUCCGAAGGGCAUGCCUGUUCGAGCGUCAUUGCACCCCUCAAGCACUGCUUGGUAUUGGGUCCCGUCUACCGGACGUGCCCGAAAUUUGUAGGCGGUCCAGCGAGAUUUCAAGCGCAGCAAGAUUUCUAUAUCCCGCUUUGGAAGCCUCUCGUUGCGUGCCGGCCAAUCAACCCACAAACUUUUCAAAUGGUUGACCUCGGAUCAGGUAGGGAUACCCGCUGAACUUAAGCAUAUC
rnacentral:rRNA from 1 species